CGACUCUGGUUUCUCUUCAUUACGCUACAAACCUUUAGCCUUUUACUAAAGACUUCGUGGAAAGAAAUAUUAUACGGAGUUCACUAUUGGAAGGGCUUUGCUUCUGGCAGAGCC